rnacentral:rRNA from 1 species
UACAGAGGUCCCGAGCGUUGUUCGGAUUCACUGGGUCGUAAAGGGUGCGUAGGUGGUGAGGUAAGUCGGAUGUGAAAUCUCGGAGCUUAACUCCGAAAUGGCAUUGGAAACUACCUCGCUCGAGGGUUGGAGGGGGGACUGGAAUGCUUGGUGUAGCAGUGAAAUGCGUAGAUAUCAAGCGGAACACCAGUGGCGAAGGCGAGUCCCUGGACAACUCCUGACACUGAGGCACGAAAGCUAGGGGAGCAAACAGG